UUAGAACAAAAACACCAUUAAAUUGAAAGAGGCUGACGGGCUGAGAGAAGCUCUGAUAAACAGAAAGAGAGAGAGGAGUCAAUUAGGUGUAGGAAAAUCUAAGAAAUCAGACAUAAACUACAUAUGCCCCAUAGUUUCCCAAUUCCUUUCAAAAACUUUGUUUUCAGUUACGCUAAAACGACCUUUUUGCUUUUUGAUUUUUCCAGAAAAAGAAGCAGAAGAAGAAGGAAGAUGAAGACGACUAAAAAGAGUUGCCUCCGACUUUUUGAUUAACAAUGCCUCCGACGGUUGCAGAACCUAUUCACAACUAUGGGGUGCUAAUGCUGGAUGGCACAAUGGCAAAACAAUAAGCCAUAUAGAGCAAACGGACGGAAGUCUAUAUACUUAAGGGUGGCUGAUGCAAUAAUAGAUUUGCCACGAAGUGUUCAUAAAAGAAAUUUUCAACCUGUGUUGAUGCAAAGGAUAACUUCCACUUUUUUAAGUUUAUGAAAUUUUAUGUGUAUUACUUUUGUGAUCUAUUGCCUUCAUGAAAUUGUAGAUAUGUUUCUGCAAAUAUUGUGGUUUAAAAUGUGACAGAAUGUAUUGUUUAAGUGUUGUAAACUAAACAAAAAAUGAGAAACCUUUAAAUAUUUGAAUUCUUAUUUUCAAAUAUGCCAUGGAAAUUGAAAUAAAUAGUCUCUUUUAA